UUCUAUAACUAAGGCAGUGGAAACUGUCAAUUGAAGUGUUCAGAGUGUGGUCCGUUCGUGCCAUGAAGCUACAGGUGUUGUGUGUGUGCGCGCUGCUCUGCGCUGUGGCGUGUCGCAGUCUGGAUGAGGGGAGGCAGGGACACAUCCCGACCAAGCAGCUUGAUGACGAUGUUGUCAAAAUCAGAGCGAAAAGAGCUUAUAUUAUCGUAGAUUCUCCUCAUUGUCCUGCCAGAAAAGCAUAUAUGUAUGGAUAUUGUAUAGACUGUGCCGAGUACGAAAAGGAGACGGGAGAAAAAUGUCCGACUCAAUCUUAACCGAGAUCCGCGACGACGACGUCAUUCUGGCGUGCAGGUGGACCCGACGAGGAGUUUUGACAACCUAACAAAUGAUUUCUAUAACUGACUUUUGACAAAAAUAUUUCUUGUUCUCAAAAAUCUUGCAAGUGCUGUAUAUUUUUUUGGUCAAACUAACAUAACAUUGAACAUUACCACUGUUCUAAAUAUUAAAUAUGUUGAGAGCAAGAAGCCUGUUGAUUGCUGAUUUAUAGAUCUCAGACAUCGAAUAAAUUUGGAACAAGACUUACUUACGUGGACCUCUACGGCAGGUUUUAUAAUAACGGAAGUCAUCAUACCAAGUCAAGUGUUAACAUAAGGACCGCCACAUGCUUAGAAUAUUUUACCCAUAGCAAAAAUAAUAUGACAAUGCGAUACACAAAUAGGCAUAUUACGGAUUUAACCGUGACUAAGAAAAGUAUAAGUAAAUUCUAAGAUUCUUUGGUUGUUGUAUCGUAGCAGUCUCAUAAAAGCAAGAUAAUUUUACAAUCAUCAAAUUAGUUUAAAAUAAUCAGAAGAAGUUAGAACGAGGAGCGGAUGUCGAGUCACCUGGACUCACUGCGCAACCUCAACGCGCAUAUCCUUAUAUAAAGUUCACAAAACAGUAUUCAUAUACAGUUAGUACCGUUAGAAUUUAGGGCGAUGCUAGCAAUGCGUACUGCCAUAGCACAGAGCUUAGACUUAAAAUUAUUUAGACAGAAAAUAAUCAAGUAUUACAGAGAUGGAAACAGGCACUUAAAAGCUAUAUAUAUUUAGCACUGUAUACAGCACCGAGCUGCAUCUACGGCGCUGGUUGCGAUUUAGACACGUCGUCAGCACAUAAAACUUAAACAAAAGCAUUAAAAAAACCCUUGAGACACGGUUUAAAAGGUAUUACUUUAUUCUGCUCAGGUACGAAAAGGAGACGGGAGAAAAAUGUCCGACUCAAUCUUAACCGAGAUCCGCGACGACGACGUCAUUCUGGCGUGCAGGUGGACCCGACGAGGAGUUUUGACAACCUAACAAAUGAUUUCUAUAACUGACUUUUGACAAAAAUAUUUCUUGUUCUCAAAAAUCUUGCAAGUGCUGUAUAUUUUUUUGGUCAAACUAACAUAACAUUGAACAUUACCACUGUUCUAAAUAUUAAAUAUGUUGAGAGCAAGAAGCCUGUUGAUUGCUGAUUUAUCUCGAAAGGUAAAUAAAGGAAGAACCAUGAAUUAUUGUCUUUUCUAAUUUUUAGAGUGAAAAUGUUAAAUUUCAUUUUUGCAACAUUAAUAAAAAUAAAUGACAUUGUAAUAAUAAGCCAGCGAUAUGUUACAAAUAAUUUUGUAGCACUGAAAUACUUAAUUGUCAAUAAAUGUUUUAUUUCUUUUAAAAUAUAAGCAUCACUUAAUUAGGGGUACCCUAUCUGUUACUAACAAUUUAUUGUAAACACUAAUUAUUAUAUUUAUUUACAUUUUGAACCAAAACAUGUUUAUCUGUGCGAAAUAAAAGUAUUCCAUAAUCAAUAUUUUGUACUAAAACAUUUGCAAUAAAUGUAUGAAAAAUUUCAAAAA